GAUGAACGCUAGCUACAGGCCUAACACAUGCAAGUCGAGGGACCGGCGCACGGGUGUGUAACACGUAUCCAAUCUGCCCCUUACUCGGUGACUGCCUUUCGAAAGAUAGAUUAAUACCCGAUAUAACGUAUGGGGAUGCGUUUCAUUAGGUUGUUGGUGAGGUAACGGCUCACCAACCAUUCGAUGGAUAGGGUUGCGGAGAGGAAGUGCCACCAGAUUGGAACUAGGGCACGGUCCAAACUCCUACGGGAGGCAGGAGUGGGGAAUAUUGGUCAAUGGGCGGUAGCCUGAACCAGCCAAGUGGAGUGAAGGAUGAAGGCUUAUGAGUCGUAUACUUCUUUUAAAGAAGAAUAUGUAUUAUAUGAAUAAGGAUCGGCUAACUCCGUGCCAGCAGCCGCGGUAAUAC
rnacentral:rRNA from 1 species